AGAACGCUGGCGGCGUGGAUUAGGCAUGCAAGUCGAACGGUAUCAUUCCGUUUCGGGGGUGAGAGAGUGGCGAACUGGUGAGUAACACGUAGGUUAUCUACCCUCAAGACGGGGACAACCCAGGGAAACUUGGGCUAAUACCGGAUGUGAGCAACUUUUAGUUGUUUGAAAGGUGGCGUAAGCUGUCGCCUGGGGAUGAGCCUGCGUCCUAUUAGUUAGUUGGUGAGGUAACGGCUCACCUAGGCAAUGAUAGGUAGGCGGCCUUAACGGGUGGUCGCCCACACUGGGAUUGAGAUACGGCCCAGACUCCUACGGGAGGCAGCAGUCGAGAAUAGUCUACAAUGGUCGGAAGACUGAUAGUGCGACGCCGCGUGAACGAUGAAUCCCUUCGGGGUGUAAAGUUCUUUUAUAUGUGAGCAGUGCUUCUUAUAUUAACAGUAUGGGGAGAGAGAUAUUAGCAUAUGAAUAAGCAACGGCUAACUCCGUG
rnacentral:rRNA from 1 species